GUCUGUAUUUGUUUCCGUCGAAAUAAAAUGUAUUUUCUUCCAGAACUAUUUUGGUAGCCUCUAGUAUGAAGUUUGUUUCAAAUCUACUGUCAAUUUCAUCCCGUUUUUCUUCGAUCCAGUAUUUUACGGCUGUAAGACCUAGGGGAAUAUUUGUGUAUAGACUUGUAACAUCAAAGCUUGUUAAUAGUGUUUCUUCCGGAACUAUGGCAGGAAUGUGAUUUAAAAAUUCCAUAUCAUCUUUGAUAUAACUUGGUAUUGACGGACAU
rnacentral:lncRNA from 1 species